GCGCACGCAGGCGGUCUGUCAAGUCGGAUGUGAAAUCCCCGGGCUCAACCUGGGAACUGCAUUCGAAACUGGCAGGCUAGAGUCUUGUAGAGGGGGGUAGAAUUCCAGGUGUAGCGGUGAAAUGCGUAGAGAUCUGGAGGAAUACCGGUGGCGAAGGCGGCCCCCUGGACAAAGACUGACGCUCAGGUGCGAAAGCGUGGGGAGCAAACAGGAUUAGAUACCCUGGUAGUCCACGCCGUAAACGAUGUCGACUUGGAGGUUGUGCCCUUGAGGCGUGGCUUCCGGAGCUAACGCGUUAAGUCGACCGCCUGGGGAGUACGGCCGCAAGGUUAAAACUCAAAUGAAUUGACGGGGGCCCGCACAAGCGGUGGAGCAUGUGGUUUAAUUCGAUGCAACGCGAAGAACCUUACCUACUCUUGACAUCCAGAGAACUUAGCAGAGAUGCUUUGGUGCCUUCGGGAACUCUGAGACAGGUGCUGCAUGGCUGUCGUCAGCUCGUGUUGUGAAAUGUUGGGUUAAGUCCCGCAACGAGCGCAACCCUUAUCCUUUGUUGCCAGCGGUCC
rnacentral:rRNA from 1 species